GAAUUAAAGAAGCAAUAGAAGAAAUGAUGCAAAGAGGUUUAUCCUAUGUUAUUUUUGAAAGUGACUCAAAAGUAGUAGUUGAUGUUAUUCAUUCUAGGUAAGAUGGAUUAUCCGAGUUUAACAUUUUAAUUUCUCAUAUUAAGAAUUUACUUAUGUCGAAUAACAACUUUGAAGUCAAGUUUGUAAAGCGACAAGCGAAUAGAGUUGCUCACUCCUUAGCAAGGGCGACAUAUUUUAU
rnacentral:lncRNA from 1 species